CUUACACUGUGGUUGAGAAGGCAUAAAUAAUCACGUAUGCACGAUGUAAUGAUGUGUGAUCACUUAGCCACUACUGUGUCACAGCUACCACAUGUUUAGAAGACCAGCAGUGACCAUAGAAGAAAAAAGCACCAGUGGGUUAUUUGCAAACUGAAAUGUAAAGGCAGCUACACCUUGCUUUUCCAGAGGACUGCCUUGGCAAAAAUUUUAUAAGACUCCCAGACUGCAUUCUCAUCAGGAAUAAAAAGCAUACAACUGCAAUGCCAAUGUUUGAACUCUCCACACCCGCUGAAAGACAUAAAAUAUUGUCUGCUCAUGUAGCCAAGUUUGUUGGCAGGCACAUGAAUGAAACAUCUCGCAUCAUGUUCCAUUAAAAAAUGGGGAAGUUUAAACUGGCUGCAGUUUCAUCUAUUUCUUUUUUCAAAUGUAUCCUGAACACUAUGUGCCUAGUCAUUCAUCUGCUCAGGAAAAAAUAAAACUAAAUGGCAUCCCAGAAUAGCUCCAUAAAUUUCUGCAAUCCUGCCUCCAAAUAAGGCAUACCCAUGCCCCUGUGAGAAUGAACUUUUCUGCCAAGGGAAAAAAAUUAAAGUGAGGCCAAGGAAUGAGGUGGUGGAACAGAAAAGUAUAAUGAGAAUCACCUGAGUAUGAAUCUGAGCGAAGGCACUUGAUAUUACAAGAGGCUGUGAAGUCCAAGAUAAAGGUAACAUCAGGCUCAGUGUCUUGUGAGGGCUCUGGUCUCCAAUUCCAAGAUGGUGCCUUGUUCCUUCGUCCUCCAGUGGGGCAAACACUGUGUCCUCACAUGCCUAAAGGCAGAAGAGCAAAAGGGGCAGAAGAGUCACAAGCCAUGCCUGAGGGCAAUUCCAAGGCCGAAGCUAUGGAUGAGAGGGUGAUCUGACAGGGACAGCUGUCAUCAGUCAUCCUGUUGACCUUCGAGGUUAAUUCACCUGAUCUGGCUGGCUGACUGAGGGUCAUCUCCAUCCGCCCUCACUACCCCAUGGGCAUCCCUUUUGAAACUCUUUGAAUGAUAAUAAAAAUAAGGAGAAGAGAG
rnacentral:lncRNA from 10 species